GCCCUGAAACACGAGGCACAGUUUGGAAUAUGAGACUGAGAAACAACAGGCAAUAUUUUCAAGGUGCUUCUGAAUUGAAAUGGUUUGUUCAAAUGAUGUGCACAAAGGUUAACCAGAAUACCUUGCAGAGCAUAGUGCCAGAUCCCACAUCUGUCUUGCUCUCUCCUUCUUUCUGAACAUGUUUUUUAACCUUCCCAAUAACCUUUUUACCUUCCCAAUUAAAGAAGUCUUGAAUAUUAAAUUAUGAACUAACCAGAAAAGACUGUGAUUGGAGUUUUCUGUCACUUACACCAGCAAACUCAUAAAUGCCAUGACCUAAGCUGGAUUUGGCCACUGUUACGAAUUAUGAUCUUCAGACUGCCUUCUGUCAGCACUUAGGUGUCUGUCAGAGCCCUCUGUCUUUUCCAAAACCAGUAUCAAAUGAAGAUCACUAAAUUGUCUCAGAAAGCCUGUCACAGCCUUGUUUUUCGAGGUUAGUGGUUUGUGGUUUUUUCUGGCAAUAUUGCCAAUGCAGUAUAAUUUCUCUUCAUUCUAGGCAUAUCAAACCUGUAUCCCUCAUGCCUAUUUUAUUUUCAGAGAAGGAACAGAAGCUUUUUCACAAGGUUCACAAGGAGCUCGUUUCCCAGAGAGCAAGAAAGUCCUUGUGACGUUUGCAGGUCUUAAAAUAUUUCUAGGUUUUGCAGUAGCAGUAAAAGGCUAAGUCAGUGUUUUAGUGAGAAUGCACACUCCCUGUGAGCUCAUACAGUGUGUCUUACUUUCCCUUUUUGGUACAAUAUCAAGAGAGACAAAAAAAACAAUCAGAAGGUGGAAGCUGAACGUUCACUUACACUGCCUUAAAUGUCUCUUCCUUCAGGUCGUUGAAGCGGUGGGCAAUCGGACUCUUGUGGUCUAGGAAGAAAAACAAAGGGAGCAGUGAUGCUCAUUGUCACACUGGCUGUGCUGGACCCUGAGAAAUAUAUUCUGGGCACCAUGGGCAAGAUUUUCACAAGUAUUCAGCAUUCACCCGACUUUUGUAUUUAAAAACUUAAGAAAUUUAACUUUUGCUUGUUCAUUUGUCUACAGGUGGGCAGUUCUGCCAUAACUCUGUAUUAAUCCUAAGGGGGAUAGUAAGAACAAUUCCAUGAAUGGUUUUCUGGAAAUUUGACUAAUUUUAUUCCAGGUGUGGGGAACCAAAGGACAAUAAUUCCAAGAGUAAUUGACCUGGAAAUAAAAAAGAUGCAUAGUUUUUAAAUAUUUCAUCAUACCAACCUGUGCAAAGUGGAAGAGUAGAAACAAAGUGGACUGAGAUGUACUAAUAUGGAAUAAGGCUCUUGAGAAACAAAUGUGAUCGUAAGAACAGCUGUCAGAGCCCUUUUGGGAAACCUGUAGUUCUGUUUGUGGGAUUGGACCCUGAGACACACACCAAGCCUAGAGACAAGACAUUCCUGUGCCAGUAUCUGCAUUCCCCCUGUGAGGAAGUGGUCAAAGCUGGCAUGAUGUUGUAAGAGCCACUCAUAGAACAUGCACCGUCAGUAUCUGAGAGAACACCAAUGAUUCACAAGGCACUUGAGUGGGAUAUGUCUGUGUGUUUCCAAUGAAUUGAUCACGGGUAAGGACAGCCAAGGCAAAAUCUCCUGACUUGCUGCACCAAAGAGGCAGAAGUUGAUCCCAAAGGGGCUUUCAGACUGGAGGGGUUUGAGUGUGAACAGUAAUGUAAAUUUACCUUCUGCUGUAACUCUGUGCACUUCUCCUGGGCUAGCGCUUCUUC